rnacentral:lncRNA from 1 species
UUGUUUAUAGAUUCUUUUGGCUGAGAAUAAACAAUCCGGAGAUCAAAUACUUAUCAACCAGAGUUAUCCAUCAGCAACAUUCCCUAUCAAGAUGACUGAUAUCGAUUAAAGAAUUGCCAAAUAACAUUAAAAAAAAUAGAAAUCUUUCAGCACCAUUUCCUUAUCAAAGAUCAAGAAACACAUGUAAUUCAAAGAAGUAAUUUAUGAUUUAAAAAACAAGAAUGAUAUCUAGUGAUAUUGGCGAGCACCACUCCUUUACCAAGAAUCAAGAAAACCCUCGAGCAACCCGAAGGAAACGCACCUGAACAAUCCAGAGGGAUACCUAGGGUUGAGGAAGGUGAGGUCGCCAUGAACCUGAUGCGCCUCCCGAGAGCGCGGUUCUUGAGGCACGAUGCAACGGAGAACUCGUCGGGGUUAGGGCCGGGGUUCGGAAGGGGGAGGAGAGACCGAAGACUGCGAGGUGGAAGAGAAGAGAGGGGAAGCGAAGUCUCUACAAGUCGGGAGUCUUGAAGGGAGUAUGCGGAGGGAGAGAGCGAGACUGGCGAGGCGAGGGUAAAGGAAGGGAGCGACGCGAAGGAUCGAAGCCUUUGGCGGUGGCCUCCGGAUGAGAGAAACCCAG